rnacentral:misc_RNA from 1 species
GAUGAAGAACGUAGCGAAAUGCGAUACUUGGUGUGAAUUGCAGAAUCCCGUGAACCAUCGAGUCUUUGAACGCAAGUUGCGCCCGAAGCCAUCAUGUUGAGGGCACGUCUGCCUGGGCGUCACAUAUCGUUGCCCAAUGCCUAUUGCAGUGCAAUAGGAAUUUCUAGGGCGAAUGAUGGCUUCCCGUGAGCGUUGUUGCCUCGCGGUUGGUUGAAAAUCGAGUCCUUGGUAGGGUGUGCCAUGGUAGAUGGUGGUCGAGUUAGAACGAUACCGAUCAUGUGCAUGCUCCCCAAAAUAUGGCCUCUAUGACCCACACGCGUCUUUUGACGCUCAUGACGAGACCUCAGGUCAGGCGGGGCUACCCGCUGAAUUUAAGCAUAUCAAUAAGCGGAGGA